CACGUAGGGCGCAAGCGUUGUCCGGAAUUAUUGGGCGUAAAGAGCUCGUAGGCGGCUUGUUGCGUCGGCUGUGAAAUCCCGGGGCUUAACUCCGGGCGUGCAGCCGAUACGGGCAGGCUAGAGUCCGGUAGGGGAGACUGGAAUUCCUGGUGUAGCGGUGAAAUGCGCAGAUAUCAGGAGGAACACCGGUGGCGAAGGCGGGUCUCUGGGCCGGUACUGACGCUAAGGAGCGAAAGCGUGGGGAGCGAACAGG
rnacentral:rRNA from 1 species